GUAGGAGGAAUACUCGAAGAGUAUGCACCAGUCUCCUAAUCGUACAUGCAUGGCACAACAGUCAUCCAGAAACUGGACUUUUUCAAGAAUUUCAUCCUCUGAAAGUAUAUAUAUAAAUGAGACAAAUGUAAUGAAAUCAUUCAAUGCUAAGAUAACCUGUAAUAAUGCCAGUGUAGUGAAUCCCAUAACAUACUCAGAUCCUACAGAAGGAUGACUCUUGUGCGUUAGUGCUAUUUUUUAUUCUUACCAAGAUGUUCUUAACACAUGGUACUUAGAUUCUGUCACUGAUUUCAAUAAUUUACUUUACCCUGCAUGGUAGUGUUUAUUAUGCAGUGUCUACAUUCCUACUUCGAGUAUUUCUGUACCACCAACCUGUUCUAUUUGCUGCAUCUCAUGGGACUUUUUUCCCACAUGGUGUGCACGUCUCUUACAUUUUUUACCAGCCUGUAUUAUUUGUUUUGCUUGUGUAUAUUGCCUGGUAGUACAUUUCUAUAGAAUUUGUGUCACCAUCUUAUAUAAUUGGCUUUGCCCCAUAUACAUGUAUUGCAGUGGUGUUCAUGUCUGAGAUAAACGGGUUGAGUAUUUAUUAUUUCAUACAAAAGAUUUCAGACUAGUGAAGCAAAUACUUUUUCUAAAUAGAUACAAGUUUGGUUAAUAGUGCAAACAAGCAAUACACUUACGGUAAUUAUAUUGUUGAUAUCAAACGUCUCAUUACAUUCCAUUUUCGCGCUGUCUUCCGGAAGUACGACUGACCUCAGGUUCGCCGAGACUGACCGCGGAUCACUUCGCAAGAGGCCGAGAGUGAGUCGCGGCAUACAGACAUCAGUCCAUAAAUACACGUUCAUGAUCAGACAGACGGCCAGCCCUUUCUGCUCGUGGUAUUCUGGCUGCACGUGCACGAUGCCUUAGCAACGGCACCGGAGUUCAGAGGUCGCUCGCGGUACGGCCCUUACGGGGACGUCGUGACGGACUGGGGCGUUGGACGGGUGGUGGAGGUGCUGGACUCCAGCUUGGGACUGUCACGUGACACUGUCGUCUACUUUACGACUUUACUUUUCUGAUCACGGAGCCUGCUUGAAUAUCAAGGACUGGAUGGGCCGGCAGGUCGGAGGCUAUAACGGACCUUUCAGAUGGUCUCCAGAGGGAGCUUUCCGGGUGCCUGGUAUUGUCCGCAGGCCAGGUCAUCGACGAACCGGUCAGUCAGAUGGACAUCGCCCCCACCAUCGCUGACCUGUUGUACGUGCCGUUGCCAGGCGACCGCGUCAUGGACGGCAAGAGCUUGGUGCCCUUGUUGAGAGGAGAGACACAGACCUCGGCCCACGAGUUCCUCUUCCACUACUGUCAGGAUGAGGUCCACGCCGUCAGAUACGUACAGACCCAGAACAGGAUGCCAUAAAGAUGACAGAAACAUCGACACCAGGACGUACAUUUAUGGAAAAGUAGAUGCAGCAAAUUGGAAUGCUGGCAUCAUGCCACCAUGGUUUGCUGCUGCACGCUCAUGACCACGGAAAUCGGAGCUGAUCAAAGCCUCAGUUUCAAAAGAAAACAGUAUUCAACGAGCACGUCUUUGUUCAGUCAUAAAGAAACCUCGCAGAACCGGAACUCUUAGCACUGUCAGAACUGAAGAUCCUUAUAUUAGACAGAGGCAAGGACCAUAAUUCCAGCUUCAUGUUAGUUCCGAAAGAAACAGUUACAAUAUAUGUGUAAUGAAGCUCACAUCAAAUAAAGGCCUUGGCUGCCGGCAGCGUGAAGACAGGAUGGAAAGUACUUAGUGGUGGUCCGCUGGCGAUGUUCUUGUUCUCACAGCGUCCUGCAACUGCAACUCCUGCUGAUGCUGCUGAUGUUCUUGUCACUGCUGCAUCAUGGGAAAAGUUUUUUUUUUUGGUACAUAACUCGUAAGGCCAGGAUACAGCUCCGACAAGCAUAGUCUAAAAAUAGCACCGAGAGACAUGAUGGGUGGAGGGAAAGAGGAAAGGUGUUAAAGAUCUGUGAUUUCAAUCACUGCUUGGAAACAAACCACUUGACUCGUUCAACCCUUUCACGCUUUUCAAACGAAUGGAAGUACCAUGGCGCGCGCUCUAAAAAUCUCUUCUUGGAUGAGCCUGCAGAGCCUAAACCCAUCGCCCGCGGCAUCGUCGUAGAGAAAACUAAUUAAGUUCCAAAAUAGUCCAAUUACCUGUUACGUGUUCGUUCAGUUCAUCGGAGAGAAAGAAAACGUUCUGAAGAAGACAGGCACCCGACUCAAGACAAUUUCCUCUCUCGGUUUUUGCCUCCCGCUUCGUUCUCAGCCCCGCUUGGAGCGCACGCCUCAGGCCUCUUGCCAGGGCACGAGCGGCAAAGGUUGCUUCUCAAUUGCUCAGCUUCCCCCAUGGCACAUCCUCUCACCAAGUAAAUCGAUGGUGAAACUCCAGAACCUUUGCAGCAAAGCGUUUAAAAGAGGAUUCCGAGGAAGGAGUGUACUUCGCUUCAAACACUUGGGAGUUGUCUUUUCUUUA